rnacentral:rRNA from 1 species
AGAACGAACGCUGGCGGCAUGCCUAACACAUGCAAGUCGAACGAGACCUUCGGGUCUAGUGGCGCACGGGUGCGUAACGCGUGGGAAUCUGCCCUUGGGUCCGGAAUAACAGUUAGAAAUGACUGCUAAUACCGGAUGAUGACGUAAGUCCAAAGAUUUAUCGCCCAGGGAUGAGCCCGCGUAAGAUUAGGUAGUUGGUGGGGUAAAGGCCUACCAAGCCGACGAUCUUUAGCUGGUCUGAGAGGAUGAUCAGCCACACUGGGACUGAGACACGGCCCAGACUCCUACGGGAGGCAGCAGUGGGGAAUAUUGGACAAUGGGCGAAAGCCUGAUCCAGCAAUGCCGCGUGAGUGAUGAAGGCCCUAGGGUUGUAAAGCUCUUUUACCCGGGAUGAUAAUGACAGUACCGGGAGAAUAAGCCCCGGCUAACUCCGCGCCAGCAGCCGC